CCCCUGGUGGUCUAGCAGUUAGGAUGUGGCGCUUUCACCGCCGUGGCCCGAGUUCGAUUCCCGGUCAGGGAA
rfam:Manacus vitellinus contig17429, whole genome shotgun sequence.